UGGUUUAGGGUUUGGUUAGGAUUUGGUUUAGGGUUUAGGAUUUAUUUUAGGAUUUGAUUGGAGUUUAUUUAGGAUUUAGGAUUUAGUUAGGAUUUGGUUUAGGGUUUAGGGUUUGGAUUAGGAUUUGGAUUAGGAUUUGAUUUAGGAUUUAAGAUUUGGUUAGGAUUUGAUUUAGGGUUUAGGGUUUGGAUUAGGAUUUGGUUAGGAUUUGAUUUAGGGUUUAAGAUUUGGAUUAGGAUUUGGUUAGGAUUUGGUUUAGGAUUUGGUUGGAAUUUGAUUUAAGGUUUGUUUAGGAUUUGAUUCAGGGUUUAGGAUUUUAUUAGGAUUUGAUUCAGGGUUUAGGAUUUUAUUAGGAUUUAAGAUCAAUUAGUUUUGGCCUAAAGUUUGAAUGAAGUUCAAUAGGAUUUUAACUAGAAUUAAAUUAAGAUUGAAUUGAGAUGUAUUUGAGUGAUAUUUGUGAUCCUUCUAAUAUUUCUUUAAGAAUUCUUAUUAUUUGUUUGAAAUUUCUUUGAGGUUUUUUUGAAUUUGAUUAAGCUUGCUUAGCAUUAUUAUGGUCUAAUUAGAGUAUUGUUAGUAUUCUAUUAGAAU
rnacentral:lncRNA from 1 species